rnacentral:rRNA from 1 species
AGUCGAGGGGCAGCAUGAACUUAGCUUGCUAAGUUUGAUGGCGACCGGCGCACGGGUGAGUAACACGUAUCCAACCUGCCGAUGACUCGGGGAUAGCCUUUCGAAAGAAAGAUUAAUACCCGAUGGCAUAGUUCUUCCGCAUGGUAGGACUAUUAAAGAAUUUCGGUCAUCGAUGGGGAUGCGUUCCAUUAGCUUGUUGGCGGGGUAACGGCCCACCAAGGCAUCGAUGGAUAGGGGUUCUGAGAGGAAGGUCCCCCACAUUGGAACUGAGACACGGUCCAAACUCCUACGGGAGGCAGCAGUGAGGAAUAUUGGUCAAUGGGCGCUAGCCUGAACCAGCCAAGUAGCGUGAAGGAUGACUGCCCUAUGGGUUGUAAACUUCUUUUAUAUGGGAAUAAAGUGCAGUAUGUAUACUGCUUUGCAUGUACCUUAUGAAUAAGGAUCGGCUAACUCCGUGCCAGCAGCCGCGGUAAUACGGAGGAUCCGAGCGUUAUCCGGAUUUAUUGGGUUUAAAGGGAGCGUAGGCGGGUUGUUAAGUCAGUUGUGAAAGUUUGCGGCUCAACCGUAAAAUUGCAGUUGAUACUGGCAUCCUUGAGUACAGUAGGGGUAGGCGGAAUUCGUGGUGUAGCGGUGAAAUGCUUAGAUAUCACGAAGAACUCCGAUUGCGAAGGCAGCCUGCUGGACUGUAACUGACGCUGAUGCUCGAAAGUGUGGGUAUCAAACAGGAUUAGAUACCCUGGUAGUCCACACAGUAAACGAUGAAUACUCGCUGUUUGCGAUAUACAGUAAGCGGCCAAGCGAAAGCGUUAAGUAUUC